UACGUAGGGGGCAAGCGUUGUCCGGAGUUACUGGGCGUAAAGCGCACGCAGGCGGUCUCUUAAGUUUGGAGUGACAGUUGGUGGCUUAACUGCCAAAGUGCUUCGAAAACUGAGAGACUUGAGGGCUUCAGAGGGACACGGAAUUCCGGGUGGAGUGGUGAAAUGCGUAGAGAUCCGGAGGAACACCGACGGCGUAGGCAGCGCCCUGGCUGUGAAUAAAGCUGACACUGAGGCACGAAAGCUGGGGGAGCAAACAGG
rnacentral:rRNA from 1 species